rnacentral:rRNA from 1 species
UACGUAGGGUGCAAGCGUUAAUCGGAAUUACUGGGCGUAAAGCGUGCGCAGGCGGUUUUGUAAGUCUGUCGUGAAAGCCCCGGGCUCAACCCGGGAAUUGCGUUGGAGACUGCAAGGCUUGAAUCUGGCAGAGGGGGGUAGAAUUCCACGUGUAGCAGUGAAAUGCGUAGAGAUGUGGAGGAACACCGAUGGCGAAGGCAGCCCCCUGGGUCAAGAUUGACGCUCAUGCACGAAAGCGUGGGGAGCAAACAGG